AGUGAACGCUGGCGGUAGGCCUAACACAUGCAAGUCGAACGGCAGCACAGUAAGAGCUUGCUCUUACGGGUGGCGAGUGGCGGACGGGUGAGGAAUACAUCGGAAUCUACUUUUUCGUGGGGGAUAACGUAGGGAAACUUACGCUAAUACCGCAUACGACCUACGGGUGAAAGCAGGGGAUCUUCGGACCUUGCGCGUUUGAAUGAGCCGAUGUCGGAUUAGCUAGUUGGCGGGGUAAAGGCCCACCAAGGCGACGAUCCGUAGCUGGCCUGAGAGGAUGAUCAGCCACACUGGAACUGAGACACGGUCCAGACUCCUACGGGAGGCAGCAGUGGGGAAUAUUGGACAAUGGGCGCAAGCCUGAUCCAGCCAUACCGCGUGGGUGAAGAAGGCCUUCGGGUUGUAAAGCCCUUUUGUUGGGAAAGAAAAGCAGCAGGUUAAUACCCCGCUGUUCUGACGGUACCCAAAGAAUAAGCACCGGCUAACUUCGUG
rnacentral:rRNA from 1 species